rnacentral:snRNA from 1 species
ACCGGAAGCCGGGUUACG